CAGCCGCCGCGGUAAUACGGAGGGGGCUAGCGUUGUUCGGAAUUACUGGGCGUAAAGCGCACGUAGGCGGCUUGGUAAGUUAGAGGUGAAAGCCUGGAGCUCAACUCCAGAAUUGCCUUUAAGACUGCCGAGCUAGCAGGUGAGAGAGGUAAGUGGAAUUCUGAGUGUAGAGGUGAAAUUCGUAGAGAUCGGGAGGAACAUCAGUGGCGAAGGCGGCCAUCUGGGACAACACUGACGCUGAGGCACGAAAGCGUGGGGAGCAAACAGGAUUAGAUACCCCUGUAGUCCCUGUCUCUUAUAA
rnacentral:rRNA from 1 species